rnacentral:rRNA from 1 species
UUAGGUCGACCCGCUGAAUUUAAGCAUAUCAAUAAGCGGAGGAAAAGAAACUAACAAGGAUUCCCUUAGUAACGGCGAGCGAACAGGGAAGAGCUCAGAACCGAAUCCCGUGGUGUUUAGCCACUGGGAAAUGUGGUGUUUGGGUGCUGCACUGUGGCAUGUCUUCAAUUCUAAGUUCACAUGAUUGUGGCUCAAAGCCCAAGGAGGGUGUAAGGCCCGUAAGGAUUGGAGAUUUGUCGCGUAGUGGUACCCUAGAGUCGGGUUGUUUGGAAAUGCAGCCCAAAGUGGUGGUAAACUCCAUCAAAAGCUAAAUACAACACGAGUCCGAUAGCGAACAAGUACCAUGAGGGAAAGUUGAAAAGAACUUUGAAGAGAGAGUUCAAUAGUGCGUGAAACCGCUCAGAGGUAAGCGGGUAGAGCUGAAAGUGGUGUGGGUAUUUAGGUCUACGUGUGCGUGGUGGCUGGAGCAUAGAUCUUCACCGACUAUGUCCGGUUUUCCGCUGUGCAUGUUGGCUGCUUUACUCAUGCCUUAACCACGAUCGGUGAUGCGCUGGUCUGAGGUUGGUGAAAGGUGGCCUCCUGCAUUCGUGCGGGCUGGUGUUAUAGUCGCCAACUCGGAGCCGGUGUGUUGCUGUGCAUGGCGGUGCAAGUCCUAUUUUGGGCGCACAAGUUGCCUCAUAGUGGUGUUGUGGGGUUUUUGCUCAAAAGAGUGAAUUUCCUGCUUAAUGCCGCUACUGUUCGGUGGCCUCUGUGUAUUGUGCCAACAAUCUGUGGUUUCCUGUAAGCUCUCUACCCGGCCCGUCUUGAAACACGGACCAAGGAGUCUAACAUGUACGCGAGUCAUUGGGUUCUACGAAACCUAAAGGCGCAUUGAAAGAGAAUGCCUGCAUUAGUGGGCUGAGAUAUGAUCCUUGCUCUCACGGGGGCGGGGCGCAGUAUCGGCUUGUUUCAUGCUUUUUAAGUGGAGCAACGCUAGAGCGUACAUGGUGGUACCCGAAAGAUGGUGAACUAUGCUUGCAUAGGUUGAAGCCAGAGGAAACUCUGGUGGAGGACCGAAGCGCUUCUGACGUGCAAAUCGAUCGUCAAAUGUGAGUAUAGGGGCGAAAGACUAAUCGAACCAUCUAGUAGCUGGUUCCCUCCGAAGUUUCCCUCAGGAUAGCUGGCGCUAGUGAAAGAAACAGUUUUAUCCGGUAAAGCGAAUGAUUAGUAGUAUUGGGGACGAAAUGUCCUCAACUAAUUCUCAAACUUUAAAUGGGUAAGAUGCUGCACUCGCUUAACUGGAGUGUGGCUUGGAAUGUUAGUGCCUAGUGGGCCAUUUUUGGUAAGCAGAACUGGCGAUGUGGGAUGAACCAAAAGCGGUGGUUAAGGUGCCUAAAUGAGCGCUCAUGACAAACCACAAAAGGUGUUGGCUGAUCUAGACAGCAGGACGGUGGCCAUGGAAGUCGGAAUCCGCUAAGGAGUGUGUAACAACUCACCUGCCGAAUCAACCAGCCCUGAAAAUGGAUGGCGGUGGAGCGUUCUACCUAUACCGCGCCGUCACUGCAAUACGCGUGAGGAAGYAGUGACGUGUAGGAGGGCGACGUGGUAAGCACAGAAGCUGCGACUGUAAAGUCGGGUGGAGCUGCCAUGUGUGCAGAUCUUGGUGGUAGUAGCAAGUAUUCAAGUGAGAACCUUGAAGACUGAAGUGGAGAAGGGUUCC